GUCCCCGCCCCCCGCCCCGUUACUCCCGGGGCGCCGCCGGCUGCGGCUGUCCCUCCAGCACCGAGUUCCCGCCGGUGAAGACGAACCCGCAGGCCGUGAGUUGUAAGGGAUUUGCUUCUGCUCGCGGUGCGCACGGCGGGUCGAGCCUGCGCGGCGCCCGAGCCCUGAGCGUGUCGUGCAUUUUGAGGAGUAUAAUGAAGACUGCAGAGAGACAGCCAUGGAAUGAAUCUUAAAAGAUUUUAUUACUAAAAGCAAUCAAGAUUAAAAUGGUAUUCGCCACCUGGUGAAGAAGCCGCUCCUGGUUUUGGGAGAAGCAGUGGGUGUGCUGAGAUGGAAUUCGAAACUGUGAGUUUCCUUGCCAGUGUUUAGGGAGCUCUGGUGGUUCCCUUAAGUGAUCAAUUGCCUUUUUGUCAUAUUUUCAUUGCAUUCUUUCUAGUUUGAACUUUUUUUUUUUUUUUUUCCAGAAGAAGAUACUUCUUUUAUGUAGAUAGCAUGACUUUUUUCAUAUUUCUUUGCUUUUGAGAUUUAGUCUUCUGGUAGUGAUAGCAAUCGAAUGAACAAAAGUAAGAUGUUCUGAAGGUAAGUAGCCAGUAGCUAUCGAUGUUACUGAGUAGCUGGCUCUUUUGGUCAUUGGGAUGGCAGUGAGGCAGAUGGCUUUGUUAUACCAUAGGAAAAGCCUAACACUGAUGAAGAGUCUAUUGAUCCAUCCCUAAGACUGCCCCCAAACGCCCAGCCUUUAAAACCCCUGAAAAUGAAGGUCCCGACUUGGCUGUCUUCCAGGGACCAUGCCCGUGCCAUUCCCUCCCCCCUCUCCCUCCCCCACAGGCAUGUAUCCUCUAA